rnacentral:rRNA from 1 species
GACAGAGGUGCCAAGCGUUAGGCGGAAUCACUGGGCUUAAAGCGUGUGUAGGCGGAUUGGUAAGUACCUUGUGAAAUCCCACGGCUCAACCGUGGAACUGCUCGGUAUACUGCCUAUCUUGAGCCACUUAGGGGCUGUCGGAACAAACGGUGGAGCGGUGAAAUUCGUAGAUAUUCGCAAGAACACCAGUGGCGAGGGCGGCCGACUGGUCCGGUUCUGACGCUGAGGCGCGAAAGCGUGGGGAGCAAACAGG